rnacentral:rRNA from 1 species
AGUGAACGCUGGCGGUAGGCCUAACUCAUGCAAGUCGAACGGCAGCACAGUAAGAGCUUGCUCUUACGGGUGGCGAGUGGCGGACGGGUGAGGAAUACAUCGGAAUCUACUUUUUCGUGGGGGAUAACGUAGGGAAACUUACGCUAAUACCGCAUACGACCUACGGGUGAAAGCAGGGGAUCUUCGGACCUUGCGCGAUUGAAUGAGCCGAUGUCGGAUUAGCUAGUUGGCGGGGUAAAGGCCCACCAAGGCGACGAUCCGUAGCUGGCCUGAGAGGAUGAUCAGCCACACUGGAACUGAGACACGGUCCAGACUCCUACGGGAGGCAGCAGUGGGGAAUAUUGGACAAUGGGCGCAAGCCUGAUCCAGCCAUACCGCGUGGGUGAAGAAGGCCUUCGGGUUGUAAAGCCCUUUUGUUGGGAAAGAAAAGCAGCAGGUUAAUACCCCGCUGUUCUGACGGUACCCAAAGAAUAAGCACCGGCUAACUUCGUG